GCGGCUUUAGUCUAGUGGUAAGAUGCGAGCUUCCCAAGCUCGAGAUGCGGGUCCGAUUCCCGCAAGCCGCA
rnacentral:tRNA from 1 species